UACGUAGGGACCAAGCGUUGUUCGGAUUUACUGGGCGUAAAGGGCGCGUAGGCGGCCUUCUAAGUCGAACGUGAAAUCCCUGGGCUCAACCCAGGAACUGCGUCCGAUACUGGGAGGCUUGAAUCCGGGAGAGGGAUGCGGAAUUCCAGGUGUAGCGGUGAAAUGCGCAGAUAUCAGGAGGAACACCGGUGGCGAAGGCG
rnacentral:rRNA from 1 species